AGAACAGUGGGAGUUGACAAUUGGAAAGAAGGUACAGAAAAAGUUAAGGAGCAUAAAAACAGAAGCACAUAUGGUAAGCAUGGUAAGGUGGAGCAACUUUAAGCAGAUACCACUGGAAGAAGCUUUCAGAAGGGCAGAUAUGGAAGGCCAAGCCAGAAGAGAGGAAGAAUGACAACGAAACAGGGAGCUAAUGAGAAGACUGAUAGACAUUACACUCUAUCUUGUGUAACAAAAUGGAGCAUUCAGGGGUCAGAAUGAAGGAAUACAUCUCUGAACAAAGGAAAUUCCCUU